rnacentral:rRNA from 1 species
GGAUGGGAUCAUACCAGCACUAAAGCACCGGAUCCCAUCAGAACUUCGAAGUUAAGCGUGCUUGGGCGAGAGUAGUACUAGGAUGGGUGACCUCUUGGGAAGUCCUCGUGUUGCAUUCC